GUGUCAGCCGCCGCGGUAAUACGAGUGGUGCAAGCGUUAUUCGGAUUUAUUGGGUGUAAAGGGUGCGCAGACGGUUUGUUAAGUCACUUGUUAAAUUCUCUGGCCUAACCAGAGGCAUGCGAGUGAAACUGGCGAACUUGAGGGUGGAAGAGAGAAGUGGAAUUCUCGGAGUAGCGGUAAAAUGCGUAGAUCUCGAGAGGAACACCAAUGGCGAAGGCAGCUUCUUGGUCCAUUUCUGACGUUCAUGCACGAAAGCGUGGGGAGCAAACAGGAUUAGAUACCCUGGUAGUCCACGCCGUAAACGAUGAUCACUAGACGUUAGUUCUGUUUACAGAACUAGUGUCGUAGCUAACGCGUUAAGUGAUCCACCUGGGAAUUACGGUCGCAAGACUAAA
rnacentral:rRNA from 1 species